UUAUACAACAAAGGAAAGAACGAAACUGAAGGAAACAAAGCAAAUUUGAUGAAGCAAAAUCGGUAGAGCAGAUCGAGAUAGAGACAGAGGCAGAAGUCUAACAAUUCUGAAAUUAGCAUAGCAAAUUUGAUUUUCGCAGGUCAAAGAGGUGGGAACCAAAUCAUGAAGCAAGGGUUUAUCAUUCUUUAUCUUUCAUGGCAUCCUUAUUUACCAUCUACACCACAAAUUUGCUGUGUUUUCAUCUUCUGUGAUUAGAGUUCAUUAGGAUUCAUCUGUAAAGCAAAAAGCCUAUAGACCCAUAUCUUCAGUUUCGCUCAGGCAAUGUUGAUGAGUUUAGUGAGCCAACUCCAUCUGAAAUUCAGCCAAACUCUAGUCAGCCCAAUAAUGAUGUAGGCACAAAGUGAUAAGAACAAAGCAAGUCGUGCAGAGCGAAAGUAUAAUCAUACUACUGGAACACAAAGUUUUUCACGUGUUCGAAAGGAACAGGUUAAUUAAUCUUUUCAUGUUGUAUAUUUAAUAUAAUAAUAUAUACAUGAUGUGACAGAAUGAUAUAAUUUAUAUUUUGGAAUAUAUUAUUUUGUUCGAGAAUAAGUUGGGACACUCUCCAACACGUGCUCACAUGUUUAAAGUAUGUUAUACAAAGGAGACUGGAACCGCUGAGGCAAUGAAAGCAAUGAUAGAUGAAAUGAAUGAGAGGACAACUUUAAAUGCAAAUUUAUCAAAUGAUUUGGACAAGUGAUGUGUAAAGAAAAACAUGGAUGAGUUCACAUGUAUGGAUUAAGUGUCUCCCCGUCCAAUUUAUGGAGAGAUACAUCUGGUCAUAAAGAAAACCAAGACACAACAAUGAAUGCUAUGGAAGCUGAAAAUUCGGAGCUAAGGUCUAAAGUUUCCCAUGUUCAGCAUGCUCCGAAUAACCUGACAAACACAUCUAACCAGGUCACAACAGCUUGUAGUCCUCUUGACAUGACAGCUCGACAUCAAGCAUGGCCCUUGUCAUCAAUACAAAAUGCCUCUCUUACUUAGGUACCUACUAAGAGCUAAUCAUAAAUAUCACAUUACUUCCAGCUUUAUUUUAUAAUGGUAUGCAAAACUUGUCUUACAAUUAACCAAGGAAUGAAUGUUGCAGACCUAAAUUCCAUUGUUUAAAUCUGAACAAAAUGUGCUACAAAGUCAAAAUCAUGACAUGAUGAAGCUUGUGCUUUUUUUAAAUUUUUUAUUUUUAUUUUCUUGUGAAGCUUUAACAAGACAUCUCUCCAUUAUUUAUUACCGCAUGGGCUCUUUCUGAUUCUCUCAAAAUAUUGCUUGAAAGUAAUUAGUUGAUUGUCAUUUUUCACAAUUACAUUUGAUCUACAUUGUUGAAGUUAGGGGAUCCUGAUAUUGAUAAUGGGCAUGGUUUUGAUUGUUGUUGAUUGGUGCUUUUGGUUGUUAUUGAUUUUUUAAGCUAUUGUUUGAUAUGGUCGAAAAAUUUACGGUUGUUACUUUUAUAUAAUUUGUUGUAGUGUGGUGAACCAAUUAAGUGAUUAAAUCAUUUGGCUUACUUAUCUACUAGAGAAAUGCAUAUCACUUUCAGUUAUAAUCAUCUUCACUCUGGCACUCUAUACUAGUUUAUUUUUUAAAUAUUAUUUAUUAAUUGUAACUAUAUAAUUACUUAAGUAGUUAAAUCUUGAUUUACAAGUAGGAGAUAUAGUUGAUCUAAAAAGUAUCAUUAGGCUAACAGAAAUAGUUGCAAUCGGAGUACUUAAAGGCACAGGCGCAUCUAAAAAAGUAAAAUGGGAAGAACUAAGACCUGACUAUUGGGAGGUACAUGUUCAAGUUCCAGUUAAACCUAAUGAGAGCUUAAUCCAAUAAUAUGGACUUGUCAAAACAGUUGGACAAGCUAUUGGAGCUCAUGUUGCUUGGCCUGCUCCAUUUGUGAUUUCACAAGUUAUGGAUGCUAGCUCAGAAUAUUUAUAUAAGUGAGGUUGAGAAUUUGGGAACUAAUUUUGUUUUGAUAAUUUGUCUAUCCGGAAGAUGGAUAUCAUUAUGGCUUUUUAGAAUUUAUGGUUGGAAUAAUUUUCUUUUAAAUGUUUUUUGCUUUAACUUUGUUAGUGUGCUAGAAUAUUUUAUAAUUUUGACAAGGGAUUUUUAU